rnacentral:rRNA from 1 species
UACAGAGGUCUCAAGCGUUGUUCGGAUUCAUUGGGCGUAAAGGGUGUGUAGGUGGCGCCGUAAGUCGGGUGUGAAAUUUCGGAGCUUAACUCCGAAACUGCAUUCGAUACUGCGGUGCUUGAGGACUGGAGAGGAGACUGGAAUUCAUGGGUGUAGCAGUGAAAAUGCGUAGAGAUCAUGAGGAAGACCAGUGGCGAAGGCGGGUCUCGUGGACAGUUCCUGACACUGAGACACGAAGGCCAGGGGAGCAAACGGG